UCGGCAAUGGGCGAAAGCCUGACCGAGCGACGCCGCGUGUGGGAUGAAGGCCCUCGGGUUGUAAACCACUGUCAACGGGGAGGAAAUACAGAAGGGCUAUCCCUUUUGUUUGACCUAUCUGUGGAGGAAGUACGGGCUAAGUUCGUGCCAGCAGCCGCGGUAAGACGAACCGUACAAACGUUAUUCGGAAUUACUGGGCUUAAAGGGUGCGUAGGCGGCGCGGACAGUUGGGUGUGAAAGCCCUCGGCUCAACCGAGGAAUUGCGCUCAAAACUACCGUGCUCGAGGGAGACAGAGGUAAGCGGAACUCAAGGUGGAGCGGUGAAAUGCGUUGAUAUCUUGAGGAACACCGGUGGCGAAGGCGGCUUACUGGGUCUUUUCUGACGCUGAGGCACGAAAGCCAGGGGAGCAAACGGGAUUAGAUACCCCGGUAGUCCUGGCCCUAAACGAUGGGUACUGGGUUGCGGGUCGGACAUAGACUCGCAGCCGAAGCAAAAGUGGUAAGUACCCCGCCUGGGGAGUAUGGUCGCAAGGCUGAAACUCAAAGGA
rnacentral:rRNA from 1 species